rnacentral:rRNA from 1 species
UACGAACCGUACAACCGUUAUUCGGAAUCACUGGGCUUAAAGGGUGCGUAGGCGGCCAUGUAAGUCAGGAGUGAAAGUUUGCGGCUCAACCGUAAAAUUGCUUUUGAUACUGCAUGGCUGGAAUCAGGAUGAGGUCAGCGGAAUGUGGCAUGUAGCGGUGAAAUGCAUAGAUAUGCCAUAGAACACCAAUUGCGAAGGCAGCUGGCUAGACCUGUAUUGACGCUGAGGCACGCAAGCGUGGGGAGCGAACAGG